UUCCUAAGAGGAAAGGAUAGAGCCAGGAACCAGGUGAAGGGAUGCACACAUUCCAUUCCACUGGUCCAUGUACCAGCUCCUGUCUGCCCACAUCAGAAACCAGUAUGUGCCAUGUUCUCCCUGGCACUUCUGAAUGUGAAUCCUUCAUCUCGUGACAAGGGCUCAUGCCAUGUGCUACAAACCAAGGGGGAACAGCACAGCAUUCCUUAUUUCUGUUAUCCCGGGGACUUGCACGCCACUGCUCUUCCAUCUGUUUUAAGAGAGAAGUCAUUCAGCACAUCAACAUUUGAACUGCUGCUGGGACGAUGGGCAGAGCAGAGAUGGAGGAGGUGUUGUGCUGGAAGAUGUUAAGGGCUGCCCAUCAGCCAGCCCUUUGAUCCAGAAACACUUCCAGACCUGGUUAAAACUGCUGGGUCUGUGAACCAGAUGGUGGGGAUUCUUCACAUCCCCAGCUUCCCCCUCCCAGCUUCACAAUUCCCAUUGAAAGCAAUGAGAUUAUGUUCACUUCAGAAUUUGAACAGCCUUUCCAAGUUUUGGUUAAGUACAAACAGCAAGCAAAGGCAACUGAGCGUGGACAGGUGUACAAUCCUGCUUGACACCACAAACGCAUCAUUCACAGCCCUCUCUCCCCUCAUUUGCUAACAUAAAAUCUAAGUGACUUCACAGAACACAGUAAAAUUACACUGAAUUAAACGUGGUUCACCUGAGGCCACCACAAGGUAGUUGCUAACAGGAAAUGCCAGUGACUUUACCAGGAGCAGCAUCCUCACCGCUGCCAAAUAUUUUGUCCUGUAUCGCAGUUUCACAUCAAAACCACUCUGUCCCUGACUUAGAGUUGUAGCUAGUGGUGACAUCUGUGCUAGUUCCCUAAAUAAAACAAUGCCAAAUUGCGAUACAAAUGUGUUAUCUUGAGUGUGUUUGCUACUACAGCUCCUUUUCACAGCCCUAACAAAAUGCUUUGUGUCUGCACGUCUGUUCUAACACAACAGUUUUGUUUAUUUUAUAGGCUUACAAUAAAAAAAAAAAUCACACUUUAUGAGCUACAUGAUAAUAUUUCAACAAUACCUUGUUGUGACAUGAUGCAGUGUAAUUAUCCAGGAGAUACUACAAUGUAUUGUUAUGUCAGUGAGUCAUACCCUUCAGGGCUUC
ensembl:lncRNA